GGAGAGAUGGCUGAGUGGUCGAAGGCAACGGUCUUGAAAACCGUCGUGUCACUUGUGGCACCCAGGGUUCGAAUCCCUGUCUCUCCGCCA
rnacentral:tRNA from 1 species